GACGAACGCUGGCGGCGUGCUUAACACAUGCAAGUCGAACGGAAAGGCCUUUUCGGAGGUACUCGAGUGGCGAACGGGUGAGUAACACGUGGGUGAUCUGCCCUGCACUCUGGGAUAAGCCUGGGAAACUGGGUCUAAUACCGGAUAGGACCGCACUUUAGUGUGUGUGGUGGAAAGUUUUUUCGGUGUAGGAUGAGCCCGCGGCCUAUCAGCUUGUUUGUGGGGUAAUGGCCUACCAAGGCGGCGACGGGGAGCCGGACUGAGAGGUUGGUCGGCCACAGUGGGACUGAGAUACGGCCCAGACUCCUACGGGAGGCAGCCGUGGGGAAUAUUGCACAAUGGGCGCAAGCCUGAUGCAGCGACGCCGCGGGGGGGAGGACGGCCUUCGGGUUGGAAACUCCUUUCGCCAGGGACGAAGCGUUUUGUGACGGUACCUGGAGAAGAAGCACCGGCUAACUACGUG
rnacentral:rRNA from 1 species